UCCCUGGUGGUCCAGUGGUUAAGACUCCUUGAUCCCAGUGCAAGGGGCAUGGGUUCAAUCCCUGUUCAGGGAA
rnacentral:tRNA from 1 species